CGCGCAGGCGGGUCGGUAAGUUGGAAGUGAAAUCUAUGGGCUUAACCCAUAAACUGCUUUCAAAACUGCUGGUCUUGAGUGAUGGAGAGGCAGGCGGAAUUCCGUGUGUAGCGGUGAAAUGCGUAGAUAUACGGAGGAACACCAGUGGCGAAGGCGGCCUGCUGGACAUUAACUGACGCUGAGGCGCGAAAGCGUGGGAGCAAACA
rnacentral:rRNA from 1 species